GUCGAGCGAAGCUUUUAAAGCGGAACCUUUCGGGGUGAAACUUUAACGUUCUUAGCGGCGGACGGGUGAGUAACGCGUGAGAAACCUGCCUUUCACAACGGGAUAGCCUCGGGAAACUGGGAUUAAUACCGUAUGACACUUCUACUUAGCAUUAAGAAGAAGUCAAAGCGUAAAGCGGUGAAAGAUGGUCUCGCGUCCCAUUAGUUAGUUGGUGAGGUAACGGCUCACCAAGACUGCGAUGGGUAGCCGGCCUGAGAGGGUGAACGGCCACACUGGAACUGAGACACGGUCCAGACUCCUACGGGAGGCAGCAGUGGGGAAUAUUGCACAAUGGAGGGAACUCUGAUGCAGCGACGCCGCGUGAGCGAAGAAGGAAUUCGUUUCGUAAAGCUCUGUCCUAUGGGAAGAUAAUGACGGUACCAUAGAAGAAAGCCCCGGCUAAUUACGUGCCAGCAGCCGCGGUAAUACGUAGGGGGCGAGCGUUGUCCGGAAUUAUUGGGCGUAAAGGGUUCGUAGGCGGUAAUACAUGUCAGAUGUGAAAUCUUGUGGCUUAACCACAUCAAGCAUCUGAAACUGUAUAACUUGAGUGGAGGAGAGGUAAGUGGAAUUCCUAGUGUAGCGGUGAAAUGCGUAGAUAUUAGGAAGAAUACCAGUAGCGAAGGCGACUUACUGGCCUCUAACUGACGCUGAUGAACGAAAGCGUGGGUAGCAAACAGGAUUAGAUACCCUGGUAGUCCACGCCGUAAACGAUGAGAGCUAGGUGUCGGGAGUCAAAUCUCGGUGCCGUAGCUAACGCAAUAAGCACUCCG
rnacentral:rRNA from 1 species